AGUGAACGCUGGCGGUAGGCCUAACACAUGCAAGUCGAACGGCAGCACAGUAAGAGCUUGCUCUUCCGGGUGGCGAGUGGCGGACGGGUGAGGAAUACAUCGGAAUCUACUUUUUCGUGGGGGAUAACGUAGGGAAACUUACGCUAAUACCGCAUACGACCUUCGGGUGAAAGCAUGGGAUCUUCGGACCUUGCGCGAUUGAAUGAGCCGAUGUCGGAUUAGCUAGUUGGCGGGGUAAAGGCCCACCAAGGCGACGAUCCGUAGCUGGUCUGAGAGGAUGAUCAGCCACACUGGAACUGAGACACGGUCCAGACUCCUACGGGAGGCAGCAGUGGGGAAUAUUAGACAAUGGGCGCAAGCCUGAUCCAGCCAUACCGCGUGGGUGAAGAAGGCCUUCGGGUUGUAAAGCCCUUUUGUUGGGAAAGAAAAGCAGCAGGUUAAUACCCCGCUGUUCUGACGGUACCCAAAGAAUAAGCACCGGCUAACUUCGUG
rnacentral:rRNA from 1 species